rnacentral:misc_RNA from 1 species
AAGUCGUAACUGAACCUGCGGAAGGAUCAUUAACACGUAUCCAACGUGUGAACCUUGAACGUGCUCCUGCAGCCCCAUGAAAUCAGCAAUCCCUGGUAGAUCAUUGUUGACCAGCUUUUGAGUCAGGGAUCUCUGCCGAAACGGCUGUUCAGUAGCGAGCGCAGUGUAAGCGACCUGGCAUCCCUAAGCGAUCAGUGUCACACGGCCGGCAACCGGGUCCCAGGGCACGCCCCUUUAGCACCCCACAGUUGGGCAGCCAUCCGGACGCCGUAAAAAACUGAACAACUGUUAACAAUGGAUAUCUUGGUUCUC